rnacentral:rRNA from 1 species
UGGGGGAGUAUUGCACAAUGGGGGAAACCCGUAGAUGCAGCGACGCCGCGUGAGUGAAGAAGUAUUUCGGUAUGUAAAGCUCUAUCAGCAGGAAAGAUAAUGACGGUACCUGACUAAGAAGCACCGGCUAAAUACGUGCCAGCAGCCGCGGUAAUACGUAUGGUGCAAGCGUUAUCCGGAUUUACUGGGUGUAAAGGGAGCGCAGACGGCAUGGCAAGUCAGAAGUGAAAGCCCGGGGCUUAACUCCGGGACUGCUUUUGAAACUGUGCAGCUAGAGUGCAGGAGAGGUAAGCGGAAUUCCUAGUGUAGCGGUGAAAUGCGUAGAUAUUAGGAGGAACACCAGUGGCGAAGGCGGCUUACUGGACUGUAACUGACGUUGAGGCUCGAAAGCGUGGGGAGCAAACAGGAUUAGAUACCCUGGUAGU